GCUCCCUGAAUUUGUCUGGUGACAGCACAACACAUUGGAGAGCUCUCUCCAGAACAAGAAAGAUGAUAGAUUGCUUCAAUAUUGCAUACUUUCUCUUGGCUCUCACAGGGGUCCAGUCUAAGGUAGAAUAUGUGGCAUCUGGUGGAACAGUUAAAAUGCUGGGGGACUCCUUGGGGAUCUCCUGCACAGCCUCUGGAAUCGACUUUGAUAACUCUUGGCUCGGCUGGGUCAGGCACGUUCCUGGAAGGGGGCUACAGCAGGUAGCCUAUAUUAGCAAGUUAGCUGGAGAUACCGUGUACUAUUCUGAUGCUGUGAAAGGGCGAUUCACCAUCUCCCGGGACAAUUCCAGGAAACUGCUUCAUUUGCAGAUGUCAAACCUGAGACCUGAGGAUGCUGCGGAGUAUUACUGCUCAUGGGUGGCACAGUGUGCAGGCUUGUGUGUGAACCAGGACAAAAACCUUGCAUUGCGUCUAUCAGGACACAUAUAG